GCUGAACCUCAGCCUGUCUCCCUAGUCUCUGCCUCCUUCUUCCAUGUCCAGACCCUCAGCCUGUCCCCCUCCAGCCUCUGCUUCCUUCUUCUGAGGCUGAACCUCAGCCUGUCUUCCCCCAGCCUCUGCCUCCCUCUCUGACUGCCUCCGCCUGCCCAGCCUCCUGGGUGAGCCCCCACUGUGGUGCUUUCUGGCCCCCAUUCAUUCUUCUUACCUCAUUUCUGCUCCCUAGCUUUCCCUCCA
rnacentral:lncRNA from 1 species